UCACAUAAAAUACAUCUCUUGAAGAAACUAAAGCUUUUAACAUUCUCAAGGACUAAAUCAAACUGCAACAAAAGGUUAGACUAUCGCUGAAGUUUAAUUCUCGAGUAAGAAUUCACUUCACCUUAUUCGAAAACCUUCUAUUAACAACAAUUGGUCAUUUCUAUCUUUUGCAAUUUGGUAGAAAUAUUGAGGUCAGAGAGAUGUGAUCUUGCUGAAUGGUCUCUCUCUCCCUCCACGAUAAAGUCAUAGCGGUGUAUAUACAAUCUCCUGGAUCUCCCUUCCUUUUCUGUGGAGCUGUCUCUCUGGCUCGCCCUUCCGUUGUUCUUACCCUUCAAUGGCCGGAUCCCGGUGGCCAGAUGCAACUGAUGUCGCUGGAUUCCGCCCCUCUUUCCACCAAGAUUGGUGUCUCCGUAGAGGACCUUGCGUCGUUGCCUUCACUUGAAACACUUGGCCCUAAAAGUUGGGGAGAAUCUAUUUAAUUUCAUGCAGUCCUCCUGUAGUGUCGAUGGUAGCAGACUUGUGGUUCCCAUGGAUAUACUGGGUCGGUGGUUAAAGAAGUUUCAAGAGAAGGCCACAAAGGACCCUGAGUACUUGAAGGGUUUUGUGUUAUGAUUUCCCAUCGAGUUUGGAGGCACAAUGGGGCUGGUAAUCAGAUGAAAGUACCACGGUGAUAAAGCUACCCACGCAAUGUAUAGACCAUUGGGUAUCACGAACAUGAACUGCUUGCAUACCAAUGUUGGUCCCCUCGCAGUUGAUGACUAUUUUGUGCUGUUAAGUUAAUUUUUGUGUAUAAGUUCUACUGGGGAAGAAACAAACUAAUGGCAUCUGGUUCCAUGAAUGGUCUUGGUAUAGCUAUCUUGGAGAUCUCCAGUGGCAUUUGUUA